GAUGAACGCUGGCGGCGUGCCUAAUACAUGCAAGUCGAGCGAACGGACGAGAAGCUUGCUUCUCUGAUGUUAGCGGCGGACGGGAGAGUAACACGUGGAUAACCUACCUAUAAGACUGGGAUAACUUCGGGAAACCGGAGCUUAUACCGGAUGAUAUUUUGAACCGCAUGGUUCAAAAGUGAAAGACGGUCUUGCUGUCACUUAUAGAUGGAUCCGCGCUGCAUUAGCUAGUUGGUAGGGUAACGGCUUACCAAGGCAACAAUGCAUAGCCGACCUGAGAGGGUGAUCGGCCACACUGGAACUGAGACACGGUCCAGACUCCUACGGGAGGCAGCAGUAGGGAAUCUUCCGCAAUAGGCGAAAGCCUGACGGAGCAACGCGGCGUGAGUGAUGAAGGUCUUCGGAUCGUAAAACUCUGUUAUUAGGGAAGAACAGAUGUGUAAGGAACUGUGCACAUCUUGACGGUACCUAAUCAGAAAGCCACGGCUAACUACGUG
rnacentral:rRNA from 1 species